CCAAACAAAACAUGAGCUUGUAUCUCUCUCCUUCGGAGAGGGGUACAUUCA
rnacentral:rRNA from 1 species